rnacentral:rRNA from 1 species
AGUCGAGCGGUAGCACAGAGAGCUUGCUCUCGGGUGACGAGCGGCGGACGGGUGAGUAAUGUUUGGGAAACUGCCUGAUGGAGGGGGAUAACUACUGGAAACGGUAGCUAAUUCCGCAUAAUGUCGCAAGACCAAAGUGGGGGACCUUCGGGCCUCAUGCCAUCAGAUGUGCCCAGAUGGGAUUAGCUAGUAGGUGGGGUAACGGCUCACCUAGGCGACGAUCCCUAGCUGGUUUGAGAGGAUGACCAGCCCCCCUGGAACUGAGACCCGGUCCCGACUCCUUCGGGAGGCAGCAGUGGGGAAUAUUGCCCAAUGGGCGCAAGCCUGAUGCAGCCCUGCCGCGUGUAUGAAGAAGGCCUUCGGGUUGUAAAGUACUUUCAGCGGGGAGGAAGGGGACAAGGUUAAUAACCUUGUUGAUUGACGUUACCCGCAGAAGAAGCCCCGGCUAACUCCGUG